rnacentral:rRNA from 1 species
AGCGUACACGGUGGAUGCCCUGGCAGUCAGAGGCGAUGAAGGACGUGCUAAUCUGCGAAAAGCGUCGGUAAGGUGAUAUGAACCGUUAUAACCGGCGAUGUCCGAAUGGGGAAACCCAGUGCAAUUCGUUGCACUAUCGUUAACUGAAUACAUAGGUUAACGAGGCGAACCGGGGGAACUGAAACAUCUAAGUACCCCGAGGAAAAGAAAUCAACCGAGAUUCCCCCAGUAGCGGCGAGCGAACGGGGAGCAGCCCAGAGUCUGAAUCAGCUUGUGUGUUAGUGGAACGGUCUGGAAAGUCCGACGGUACAGGGUGAUAGUCCCGUACACCAAAAUGCACAGGCUGUGAACUCGAAGAGUAGGGCGGGACACGUGGUAUCCUGUCUGAAUAUGGGGGGACCAUCCUCCAAGGCUAAAUACUCCUGACUGACCGAUAGUGAACCAGUACCGUGAGGGAAAGGCGAAAAGAACCCCGGCGAGGGGAGUGAAAAAGAACCUGAAACCGUGUACGUACAAGCAGUGGGAGCACCUUCGGGUGUGACUGCGUACCUUUUGUAUAAUGGGUCAGCGACUUAUAUUCUGUAGCAAGGUUAACCGUAUAGGGGAGCCGCAGGGAAACCGAGUCUUAACUGGGCGUUAAGUUGCAGGGUAUAGACCCGAAACCCGGUGAUCUAGCCAUGGGCAGGUUGAAGGUUGGGUAACACUAACUGGAGGACCGAACCGACUAAUGUUGAAAAAUUAGCGGAUGACUUGUGGCUGGGGGUGAAAGGCCAAUCAAACCGGGAGAUAGCUGGUUCUCCCCGAAAGCUAUUUAGGUAGCGCCUCGUGAAUUCAUCUUCGGGGGUAGAGCACUGUUUCGGCUAGGGGGUCAUCCCGACUUACCAACCCGAUGCAAACUACGAAUACCGAAGAAUGUUAUCACGGGAGACACACGGCGGGUGCUAACGUCCGUCGUGAAGAGGGAAACAACCCAGACCGCCAGCUAAGGUCCCAAAGUCAUGGUUAAGUGGGAAACGAUGUGGGAAGGCACAGACAGCCAGGAUGUUGGCUUAGAAGCAGCCAUCAUUUAAAGAAAGCGUAAUAGCUCACUGGUCGAGUCGGCCUGCGCGGAAGAUGUAACGGGGCUAAACCAUGCACCGAAGCUGCGGCAGCGACACUAUGUGUUGUUGGGUAGGGGAGCGUUCUGUAAGCCUGCGAAGGUGNUGCUGGAGGUAUCAGAAGUGCGAAUGCUGACAUAAGUAACGAUAAAGCGGGUGAAAAGCCCGCUCGCCGGAAGACCAAGGGUUCCUGUCCAACGUUAAUCGGGGCAGGGUGAGUCGACCCCUAAGGCGAGGCCGAAAGGCGUAGUCGAUGGGAAACAGGUUAAUAUUCCUGUACUUGGUGUUACUGCGAAGGGGGGACGGAGAAGGCUAUGUUAGCCGGGCGACGGUUGUCCCGGUUUAAGCAUGUAGGCUGAUUGUCCAGGCAAAUCCGGAUAAUCAAGGCUGAGGUGUGAUGACGAGGCACUACGGUGCUGAAGUAACAAAUGCCCUGCUUCCAGGAAAAGCCUCUAAGCAUCAGGUAACAUCAAAUCGUACCCCAAACCGACACAGGUGGUCAGGUAGAGAAUACCAAGGCGCUUGAGAGAACUCGGGUGAAGGAACUAGGCAAAAUGGUGCCGUAACUUCGGGAGAAGGCACGCUGGUGUGUAGGUGAAGUCCCUGCGGAUGGAGCUGAGACCAGUCGAAGAUACCAGCUGGCUGCAACUGUUUAUUAAAAACACAGCACUGUGCAAACACGAAAGUGGACGUAUACGGUGUGACGCCUGCCCGGUGCCGGAAGGUUAAUUGAUGGGGUUAUCCGUAAGGAGAAGCUCUUGAUCGAAGCCCCGGUAAACGGCGGCCGUAACUAUAACGGUCCUAAGGUAGCGAAAUUCCUUGUCGGGUAAGUUCCGACCUGCACGAAUGGCGUAAUGAUGGCCAGGCUGUCUCCACCCGAGACUCAGUGAAAUUGAACUCGCUGUGAAGAUGCAGUGUACCCGCGGCAAGACGGAAAGACCCCGUGAACCUUUACUAUAGCUUGACACUGAACAUUGAGCCUUGAUGUGUAGGAUAGGUGGGAGGCUUUGAAGCGUGGACGCCAGUCUGCGUGGAGCCAACCUUGAAAUACCACCCUUUAAUGUUUGAUGUUCUAACGUUGGCCCCUUACCGGGGUUGCGGACAGUGUCUGGUGGGUAGUUUGACUGGGGCGGUCUCCUCCCAAAGCGUAACGGAGGAGCACGAAGGUUAGCUAAUCCUGGUCGGACAUCAGGAGGUUAGUGCAAUGGCAUAAGCUAGCUUGACUGCGAGCGUGACGGCGCGAGCAGGUGCGAAAGCAGGUCAUAGUGAUCCGGUGGUUCUGAAUGGAAGGGCCAUCGCUCAACGGAUAAAAGGUACUCCGGGGAUAACAGGCUGAUACCGCCCAAGAGUUCAUAUCGACGGCGGUGUUUGGCACCUCGAUGUCGGCUCAUCACAUCCUGGGGCUGAAGUAGGUCCCAAGGGUAUGGCUGUUCGCCAUUUAAAGUGGUACGCGAGCUGGGUUUAGAACGUCGUGAGACAGUUCGGUCCCUAUCUGCCGUGGGCGCUGGAGAAUUGAGGGGGGCUGCUCCUAGUACGAGAGGACCGGAGUGGACGCAUCACUGGUGUUCGGGUUGUCAUGCCAAUGGCACUGCCCGGUAGCUAAAUGCGGAAGAGAUAAGUGCUGAAAGCAUCUAAGCACGAAACUUGCCCCGAGAUGAGUUCU